AUGCUCCUUUUGGCAACACAUAUUCUGAACUUGGGAUGAUAUAGAGAAGAGUAGCAUGACCCUUGAGCAAGGAUGGCAUGCAAAUUCAUGAAGUAUUCCAUAUAUAA
ensembl:snRNA U6 U6 spliceosomal RNA